rnacentral:rRNA from 1 species
CCAUACCCGGCAGGCCUAACACAUGCAAGUCGAGCGGAUGAAGGGAGCUUGCUCCUGGAUUCAGCGGCGGACGGGUGAGUAAUGCCUAGGAAUCUGGCUGGUAGUGGGGGAUAACGUCCGGAAACGGGCGCUAAUACCGCAUACGUCCUGAGGGAGAAAGUGGGGGAUCUUCGGACCUCACGCUAUCAGAUGAGCCUAGGCCGGAUUAGCUAGCUGGUGGGGGAAAGGCCUACCAAGGCGACGAUCCGUAACUGGUCUGACAGGAUGAUCAGUCACACUGGAACUGAGACACGACCCCACACUCCUACCCUAAGGCAGCAGUGGGGAUUAUUGUAUCAAUGGGGGAAAGCCUGCCCCCACCCCUGCCGACUCGUGUGUGAAGAAGGUCUUCGGAUUGUAAAGCACUUUAAGUUGGGAGGAAGGGCAGUAAGUUAAUACCUUGCUGUUUUGACGUUACCAACAGAAUAAGCACCGGCUAACUUCGUGCCAGCAGCCGCGGUAAUACGAAGGGUGCAAGCGUUAAUCGAAAUUACUGGGGCGUAAAGCGCGCGUAGGUGGUUCAGCAAGUUGGAUGUGAAAU